ACUACGGGUGGCAGCAGUGAGGAAUAUUGGUCAAUGGCCGGAAGGCUGAACCAGCCAAGCCGCGUGAAGGACGAAGGUGCCAAGCAUUGUAAACUUCUUUUGUCAAGGGACAAAAUCAGGCUCGAGAGCCUGACCGAGGGUACGUGAAGAAAAAGCAUCGGCUAACUCCGUGCCAGCAGCCGCGGUAAGAAGGGGGAUGAGAGCGUUAUCCGGCUGUAUUGGGUGUAAAGGGUGAGUAGGCGAACUGUUAAGUCAGCGGUAAAAGGCCGGGGCUCAACCCCGGCGAGCCGUUGAAACGGGCUGUCUUGAGAUGUCGAGAGGUAUGCGGAAUGCGCAGUGUAGCGGUGAAAUGCUUAGAUAUUGCGCAGAACUCCGAUUGCGAAGGCAGCAUACCGGCGGCGAUCUGACGCUGAGGCACGAAAGCGUGGGUAUCGAACAGGAUUAGAUACCCGUGUAGUC
rnacentral:rRNA from 1 species